rnacentral:rRNA from 1 species
AUGGCGGGCAAGGAGGACAGCCGGAUCUUCGUGGGCGGCCUCUCGUUCCACACCGACGAGCGCAAGCUCGAGGACGCCUUCCGCCGCUUCGGCAAGGUCGUCGACACCCAGAUCAUGCUGGAGAGGCACACAAACCGGCACCGUGGCUUUGGCUUCGUGACGUUUUCAGAUCCCAGGGCAGUUGAGACUGCUAUCAAUGAUAUGCACAACAAAGAGUUAGAUGGUCGUACCAUUUCAGUGAACAGGGCUGAGCCGAAGUUGCAAACGGAUGACACACGGUACAGCAGUGGUGGUGGCGGUGGUGACCGUGGGGAUUAUCGUGGUGGUAAGGGUGAUGGCCCACCCCCUGGCAAUUGCUUUGAGUGUGGCCGUGCUGGUCACUGGGCUCGUGACUGCCCUAACCCUGGUGGCGGCCGUUCUGGGCGAUUCCCUUCCAAGUUCAGUGGCGGCGGUGGCAGGGGAGACCGCUUUUCUGGAUCAGACAGGUUUGGCGACCGUUACGUGGAUGAUCGCUACGAUGGUGGCCGUUAUGGUGGGUACCGUGAGCCUAUUGACAGCAGAGACAGAUAUGAUGGGGGCCGUGAUCGUUAUGCCAGUGACCGGUACCCUUCUGGUGGUGACCGCUUUGGUGCAGACAGGUAUGGAGCUGCUCCGGACCGUUAUGCACCAAGUGGUGGUGGAGGCGGCUAUGGCAGGGAGCGGGAGAGAAGCUACGAGAGAGAUGGACUUCGUGGUGGUGGCGGCGCCUAUGACAGGAGUGGCCCAAGGGGCGGUGCAAGCUACGACAGGGACGGCCCAAGGGGCGGCAUCGGCGGUGGCUAUGACAGGGACGGUCCACGUGGAGGCGGCGCCGACUAUGGCAGCGGAGGGCCUGCUCGCUACGAGGGAGGAGGUUACAGGGAGAGGCCUGCGCCGUACGACCGCCCCAGGGGAGGAGGACGCUUCGACGACCGCUACUAG